CAGGACUCGCAAGACUCCUACAACCCUGUGAACUUAACUAUAAGCACGUUGCUUCGGCGGGUGUCUCGGCGAGAGUUCUCCCUCCCCGGGGCGCUAAGCCCGCCGGCAGCCUACUAUACUCUGUCUCUUUGCGUUGGCAUCUCGAGUACAAUCAAACAAGUUA
rnacentral:misc_RNA from 1 species